GUGGGGAAUAUUGGACAAUGGGGGCAACCCUGAUCCAGCCAUGCCGCGUGAGUGAUGAAGGCCUUCGGGUUGUAAAGCUCUUUUGGCGGGGACGAUGAUGACGGUACCCGCAGAAUAAGCCCCGGCUAACUUCGUGCCAGCAGCCGCGGUAAGACGAAGGGGGCUAGCGUUGUUCGGAAUUACUGGGCGUAAAGCGAGUGUAGGUGGUUGUCAUAGUCAGGUGUGAAAGCCUUGAGCUCAACUCAAGAAAUGCACUUGAUACUGGGCGACUAGAGGACCGGAGAGGAUAGUGGAAUUCCCAGUGUAGUGGUGAAAUACGUAGAGAUUGGGAAGAACACCAGUGGCGAAGGCGGCUAUCUGGACGGUUACUGACACUAAGACUCGAAAGCGUGGGGAGCAAACAGGAUUAGAAACCCUAGUAGUCC
rnacentral:rRNA from 1 species